CCUACGGGUGGCAGCAGUCGAGAAUCAUUCACAAUGGGGGAAACCCUGAUGGUGCGACGCCGCGUGGGGGAAUGAAGGUCUUCGGAUUGUAAACCCCUGUCAUGUGGGAGCAAAUUAAAAAGAUAGUACCCCAAGAGGAAGAGACGGCUAACUCUGUGCCAGCAGCCGCGGUAAUACAGAGGUCUCAAGCGUUGUUCGGAAUCACUGGGCGUAAAGCGUUCGUAGGCUGUUUCGUAAGUCGGGUGUGAAAGGCGCGGGCUCAACCCGCGGACGGCACAUGAUACUGCGAGACUAGAGUAAUGGAGGGGGAACCGGAAUUCUCGGUGUAGCAGGGAAAUGCGUAGAGAUCGAGAGGAACACUCGUGGCGAAGGCGGGUUCCUGGACAUUCACUGACGCUGAGGCACGAAGGCCAGGGGAGCGAAAGGGAUUAGAUACCCGUGUAGUC
rnacentral:rRNA from 1 species